rnacentral:rRNA from 1 species
AGAAUCAACGCUGGCGGCGUGCCUCAGACAUGCAAGUCGAACGAUUAAAGCUCUCUUCGGAGAGUGUAUAGAGUGGCGCACGGGUGAGUAACACGUAAGUAAUCUACCUUUGAGUGGGGAAUAACAAUCGGAAACGAUUGCUAAUACCGCAUAACUGCAGCGGCACCGCAAGGUGACAGUUAGUUAAAGGAGCAAUCCGACUUAAAGAGGAGCUUGCGGCAGAUUAGCUAGUUAGGUAAGGUAAUGGACUUACCGAAGGUCUACGAUCUGUACUCCGGUACUAAGGAGGACGGUCGACACACUGACCACUAGAAUAACCGGGUACA